ensembl:lncRNA
GAUGAUUUAUCAGGAUGCCAUAUUAAUCGUGUUUUUUUUUUUUAUUUUGGUCAAUGCAGAGUUCCAGAAGCUUAUGGCCGUUCCCCCUGAGAAAUGUAUGGCCCAUGUAAACAUGAACUGAGGUCAGUUGUCUGCGCCAAAGGGGAAGCAACUGAUGAAAAGACUGCUUGCAACAUGGCUGUUUUCGACCAGGCUCUUCCAGUUCACGCAACAGGCUCAUAAUCCCCGUAGUGGCCAAGCAACUUCAGCCUCCUGUGAAAAUUGCCAGCUGACUUUGAUUUGAGUGAUAGAAGCCAACUUGUAGGUGUUUAAAUGGUUCUGGUUGGGAAAAGUACUGUUGUGCUACCACGAAGGGCGAUUCAGAGACUCAACACAACAGGCUCCUGCUUCAGGGCUCGCAAAAAGUGGUCAAGCAGCUUUAGCCUCCUGUGGAAAUUGCCUUGUGCUCCUGCCAACUUAGCGAUUUGAGUAACAGGACUAUAGAAUCCAACUCUCUACAGGCUUUAACAGAUCUCGUCGACCACCCUAACCCCCUAACCGUAAACCUGCAGG